GGCGAUGAGGAGCUGGAUCCGAUCUGAUGUUUAUGAUGAGGGAGGUACAAGCUGAGC
rnacentral:snoRNA from 16 species